rnacentral:rRNA from 1 species
UACAGAGGUCUCAAGCGUUGUUCGGAUUCAUUGGGCGUAAAGGGUGCGUAGGCGGCGCGGUAAGUCGGGUGUGAAAUCUUGGAGCUUAACUCCGAAACUGCAUUCGAUACUGCCGUGCUUGAGGACUGGAGAGGAGACUGGAAUUUACGGUGUAGCGGUGAAAUGCGUAGAUAUCGUAAGGAAGACCAGUGGCGAAGGCGGCAUCCUGGACCGGCAUUGACGCUGAUGAGCGAAAGCUAGGGGAGCAAACGGG